rnacentral:hammerhead_ribozyme from 1 species
AUCCAGAUAACAAGUCCGAAAUAGGGCGAAAUGCGCAUCCUGGAU